UUUUAUCAAAUCUUAUUUUUAGCAUUUUUUACAUUGCAAACAUAAAAGCAAAUAACAAAACAAAGAAAACAAACUACCCCAAGCCUCUAUAAAUCUAUGUAAAGAACACCUAGAACUUGUAAUAUAUACAAUCGUUCUAGCAUCAUACAAUGCCAAGGUCAUCAAUCUAUCUCUCACAGAGUUCUAAUUUGUAGUCACAUGAGUAAUUGUCACCUCACGACCACAAAAUAUCCCAUAUGUCCCAAUAUGUGCUACAUACUAGUGUAGAUGAACUUGUCACAUUAAACCCAAUGUUUGAAUAACCUCCUAGCAAUCUAUCUCAUAGGUGAGCUUUGUAAUUUUCUUUGACCAAGCUAACAUCAAUCCUCUCAAAUCAGCUCUGCAAGAAUCAUGUUACCAUGUCCUUUCUUACAUGAGAAACCUGCGAUGCAACCACCUUUCUCAUACCUCAAGAUAUGGUGAUUUUUUUCUAAAAAAACUUAUAAGAUGGUUAUGGAGGCAAUUAUUGCAAACAUAUGACUUCCUUAAAUUACUAGAAUAAAUGUGAAUAUAUAAAAAUGCAAUAAGAUUCUACAGCAGUGAAUGACUUCCUCAAAUUACCAGAGUGUAGGGGAUGUUCAAGAAUAUUAUGAAUAUUAUGUCAUCCUUUAAAAUUAAGAUUUAGCUAGUAUAAUGGAGAUAGUUCCAAAAAUUCCACAAAUUUUAAAAAACCCAGAAUCAAAUAUUACCUAAUAUAUUUGAACCACUUAAGUAAUAAAUAUUCCCAACAAUAAGAAAAUUAAGAAGGUUAAAUAUGAAGAAAUAAAAAAUAAACUAAUUUUUAUAUCAAGUUGAUCAACAAUUUUAAAAAAUAAGCACAUGAAUGAAGAAAGAGGAGACAAGGAAGGAGACUUAGCCAGGGAAGAGGCAUUGCAUGAAUAAAGCCACAACAAAUUUAUUCUCUCAUUCUCUCAUUUUUUUUGUUGAUAGCCUCAUCCACGCUCUGUCACUUCCCUAGCUUUGUCAGGUUUUUGUAACCUUUAAUCUUAGUUCCAUCCUCUCCCUAUUUUGGAUCAACUUUCCCACAUACCUGUCAACAUUUAUAACAUUAAGAUGGUUCUCCGAAUGAAUCUCACAUCCAAUAAGGUUGCUUCAACCAUUUUCAUUACAAACACAAAAAAUGCAUUCUUGAGUUUCGAUAGGAUGCAAU
rnacentral:lncRNA from 1 species